rnacentral:rRNA from 1 species
UACGUAGGUGGCAAGCGUUGUCCGGAUUUACUGGGCGUAAAGAGCGCGCAGGCGGUCGUUCAAGUCGAGUGUGAAAGCCCCCGGCUCAACUGGGGAGGGUCAUUCGAUACUGAUCGACUGGAAGGCAGGAGAGGGAAGCGGAAUUCCCGGUGUAGUGGUGAAAUGCGUAGAUAUCGGGAGGAACACCAGUGGCGAAGGCGGCUUCCUGGCCUGUUCUUGACGCUGAGGCGCGAAAGCUAGGGGAGCAAACAGG